AAGGACAUUCAAAUUGCUGUUUUUAUUCUGUACUAGAAUGCUGUACUUGCCUUGCAUUUGUAUAGCUAUUUGCACCAUUGGCCUACUUUGCAUUUUGAUUCAAAAAUGGAGUGUAAUGGUGUUAUGAACAUGCUUUUAAGCUUGAGACAAGUCACAAAUAUGGUUUAGAACAUUUCUCAAUUGGUAAAGUCAAGAAAAAGUCAAAGAAGCAAAAAGUCAAAGUUUGGUCAAACUUUGAAUUUAAAUGAAAAAGGUCCAAAAAUGCCAUUUUGAUUGGCAAGGUUUUAGGUCAUGAAAUUUAUAUUUUUGGAAAGAGGAUGAAAAAUGUGGUUUGUAGGAAAAAACCCCACCAAAUUUGGCCUUAUGGUUUGGGAGAUAUGCCCCUUUGAAGUUCAAGAUUUUGUGAAAAUGAUUUGAUCAUAUCU
rnacentral:lncRNA from 1 species